GUGGGGAAUAUUGGUCAAUGGGGGAAACCCUGAACCAGCAACGCCGCGUGAAGGAAGAAGGCUUUCGGGUUGUAAACUUCUUUUAUGUGGGACGAAAAAAUGACGGUACCACAUGAAUAAGCCACGGCUAACUACGUGCCAGCAGCCGCGGUAAUACGUAGGUGGCAAGCGUUGUCCGGAUUUACUGGGUGUAAAGGGCGCGUAGGCGGAUGUGCAAGUCAGAUGUGAAAUACCAGGGCUCAACCCUGGGGCUGCAUUUGAAACUGUGCAUCUUGAGUGAUGGAGAGGCAAGCGGAAUUCCUAGUGUAGCGGUGAAAUGCGUAGAUAUUAGGAGGAACACCAGUGGCGAAGGCGGCUUGCUGGACAUUAACUGACGCUGAGGCGCGAAAGCGUGGGGAGCAAACAGGAUUAGAUACCCUUGUAGUCC
rnacentral:rRNA from 1 species